rnacentral:rRNA from 1 species
AGUGAACGCUGGCGGUAGGCCUAACACAUGCAAGUCGAACGGCAGCACAGGAGAGCUUGCUCUCUGGGUGGCGAGUGGCGGACGGGUGAGGAAUACAUCGGAAUCUACUUUUUCGUGGGGGAUAACGUAGGGAAACUUACGCUAAUACCGCAUACGACCUACGGGUGAAAGCAGGGGACCUUCGGGCCUUGCGCGAUUGAAUGAGCCGAUGUGGGUAUAGCUAGUUGGCGGGGUAAAGGCCCACCAAGGCGACGAUCCGUAGCUGGUCUGAGAGGAUGAUCAGCCACACUGGAACUGAGACACGGUCCAGACUCCUACGGGAGGCAGCAGUGGGGAAUAUUGGACAAUGGGCGCAAGCCUGAUCCAGCCAUACCGCGUGGGUGAAGAAGGCCUUCGGGUUGUAAAGCCCUUUUGUUGGGAAAGAAAUCCAGCUGGCUAAUACCCGGUUGGGAUGACGGUACCCAAAGAAUAAGCACCGGCUAACUUCGUGCCAGCAGCCGCCGCCG